rnacentral:rRNA from 1 species
GAUCCUGGCUCAGGAUGAACGCUAGCUACAGGCUUAACACAUGCAAGUCGAGGGGCAGCAUGGUCUUAGCUUGCUAAGACUGAUGGCGACCGGCGCACGGGUGAGUAACGCGUAUCCAACCUGCCUACCACUUGGGGAUAACCUUGCGAAAGUAAGACUAAUACCCAAUGACAUCCCACGAAGACAUCUGAAUGGGAUUAAAGAUUUAUCGGUGAUGGAUGGGGAUGCGU